rnacentral:tRNA from 1 species
GGUUGUAGCUCAAUGGCAGAGCACUUGCCUAACAUGCACAAGGCCCUGCGUUUGAUUCCCAGUACCA